UUGGCCUUGGCUUCAGCAAGCAUCUGUACUGC
rnacentral:piRNA from 1 species